UUAGCAGUCAUUUUGUGUUGAGAAAGCAAGAACCUCGUCCGUUGUGAAUCUGCACCGACUAUCUGAAGCAGAAUUCCACAGGACAGCACCAGUUUUCAACAGUAUCAAGAAAUGAUAUGAGAAAUUCCGGGAAGAAGGCUGUCUAUGCAAAGCUCUUCGGACGGGACAUCCAGGACCAAGCGAAGAAAUAGUAGAGGCCUUGCAACGACCUGGUCACCCGCCCAAGGAGUCCUACUGAAUGCCUAAAAUCUAGUGAACCGAAGCGAAACGGAGAGUUUCAUGGAGUUUAACAUGCUUCUUGGUAUCCAUGGUUUUCCUCAAGAUAAUGUGACACUGAAGGCAACUGAAGAUAUAUUUAUAAUUAUUAGAAUCAUUGUCAAAUGAAAUCCUGUCAUUUAAUCUCUGCUCAGCCUGCAAGGCUAUGAUGUAAAUGAACGAGAACUAUAUUUCAUAUAGACAAUGUAAUAUGAAAAAUAAAAGAAUCUAUGUUAACAAUUUUGAUAUGAAACACAUAUUGUCAUUGUAAUUUAAGCAGUGUACAAGAUCUUUAUGAGAUGUCUUGAACCAUUACAGUAGUAGAAGUCCAUCAAGUGUUACUAGUGUAACAGGAAUAAGUAAAAGUUCUGCUUUUACUUGUUUCAGUCAUAAUUGGCCAUUGUCAGAAGGCAUGGCCAUCACUGUAAAGAAUCAUACUUCCAUAUGCUGUUGUUUAUACAUAGGUUGUUCCUGUGUUAUCAGAGUAGUUGUAGAAAUUAAGACAUGAUAGAGUUAAAUAAGCUGUGUAUUUAAAGUAACAGCUUAAAAUCUGUGAAGAAGCCUUGUUGAGUAAAUAAAAGAAUAUAUUUGAGGCUUUCUAUUGUUGGUAACAUUAAAUAUUUCAUUGACUGUUGUAUUGUGGGCCAUGCAUCCAUCUGUGUGAUGUCAUGUGUAGUCCAGUGAAGUGUAGUACUUUUUUUUCUUAUUGCUAGUG